GCAUUGGUGGUUAGUGGUACAAUUCUUGCCUUCCAUGCAGGAGACACAAGUUCAAUUCUUGGCCAAUGUA
rnacentral:tRNA from 1 species